rnacentral:lncRNA from 1 species
CCCCCUCUGGUCCCAUGGGAUGUACAUUGCCACCAUCCCAAAUGACCCCAUAGAAUGUUCAUUGCUGCCACCCCAAAUGAACAUCCCAUGGGAUGCUCAUUGCCACCAUCCCAAAUGUACCCAUGGGAUGCUCAUUGCCAUCAUCCAAAAUGACCCCAUAGAAUGUUCAUUGCCGCCACCCCAAAUGUCCCCAUGGGGGAUGCACAUUGCCAUCACCCCAAAUAAAUUAUCCCCAUGGGAUGCACAUUGCCACCACCCCAAAUGACCCCACAGAAUGUUCAUUGCCACCACUCCUAACGUCCCCAUGGGACCCCCAGUGCCACCACCCCAAAUCCCCCCCACGUCCAUCUGGGGACGCUCACCCCCUCUUCUCCUCCUCACCGACAUCCCAUAGUCUGAUGUAUACGAGGAAACAUUUUGGGAAGAAGGAGGUGGGCAUUUAUAGGGCCAAUGGGGGAUGACCACACGUAUUGAUGUGGUUCGAAUGCCCAACAAGAGAGAAACGCACCGAUAAGCGCCCCUAUGAGAUGAACUGAUAAGAGAAACGACCCUAUGAGAUGAAUUGAUAAGAGAAACAGCCCUAUAAGAGGGAUUGAUAAGAGGAAUGACCCUAUAAGAUGAAUUGAUAAGGGAAACGCUCCAAUAAGUCCCCCUAUUAGAUGAAUUGAUAAGGGGAACACGCUGGUGAAUGUCCCUAUAAGAUGAAUCGAUAAGAGAAACGCACCAAUAAAUGCCCCUAUGGGAUGAACUGAUAAGAGAAACGACCCUAUAAGAUGAAUUGCUAAGAGAAAUGCCCCUAUGGGAUGAACUGAUAAGGGAAACGACCCUAUAAGAUGAACUGAUAAGGGAAACGCACCGGUAAAUGCCCCUGUGAGAUGAAUUGAUAAGAGAAACGACCCUAUAAGAUGAACUGAUAAGAGAAACGACCCUAUAAGAUGAACGGAUAAGGGAAAUGCUCCAAUAAACGCCCCUAAGAGAUGAACUGAUAAGAGAACGGCACUGAUCAGCACCCCUAUAAAGGGGCUGACAGCCGAAACUCGCCGAUACCCCCCAUAGGACGAACGGCUGCGGGAACCGCGUCGAUCCCCGCAUUCCCAAAGCCGAUCUUUCCGAUUAAACGGCACUGACGGAGAAACCCCGCAGCGCUCCGGGGGGGCGCGGAGGUGCGCGGUGCGGUGCGGUG